rnacentral:rRNA from 1 species
AGUGAACGCUGGCGGUAGGCCUAACACAUGCAAGUCGAACGGCAGCACAGUAAGAGCUUGCUCUUACGGGUGGCGAGUGGAGGACGGGUGAGGAAUACAUCGGACUCUACUUUUUCGUGGGGGACAACGUAGGGCAACUUACGCUAAUACCGCAUACGACCUACGGGUGAAAGCAGGGGCUCUUCGGACCUUGCGCGAUUGAAUGAGCCGAUGUCGGAUUAGCUAGUUGGCGGGGUAAAGGCCCACCAAGGCGACGAUCCGUAGCUGGUCUGAGAGGAUGAUCAGCCACACUGGAACUGAGACACGGUCCAGACUCCUACGGGAGGCAGCAGUGGGGAAUAUUGGACAAUGGGCGCAAGCCUGAUCCAGCCAUACCGCGUGGGUGAAGAAGGCCUUCGGGUUGUAAAGCCCUUUUGUUGGGAAAGAAAAGCAGCAGGUUAAUACCCCGCUGUUCUGACGGUACCCAAAGAAUAAGCACCGGCUAACUUCGUG